UACGUAGGGGGCAAGCGUUGUCCGGAUUCAUUGGGCGUAAAGAGCGUGUAGGCGGCCAGGUAGGUCGGUUGUGAAAACUGGAGGCUCAACCUUCAGAGGUCGACCGAAACCAUCUGGCUAGAGUCCGGGAGAGGAGAGUGGAAUUCCUGGUGUAGCGGUGAAAUGCGUAGAUAUCAGGAGGAACACCGGUGGUGUAGACGGCUCACUGGACCGUAACUGACGCUGAGGUGCGAAAGCUAGGGUAGCAAACGGG
rnacentral:rRNA from 1 species